GGAUGACAAAAGCUUUGGAUUAAAAUUGAGAGUAUGAUGAUUCUCUAGCUUCUUCCAACCCUCUUUUGAUUGCUUGGAGAUUGAGGAACAUAUGAAUAUCUUGCUUGGGUACAUUUAGCAAAACUACCAUCAUCAUAGUUCAUAUGUAAAUAGAAAAUGGUACAUUUGAUCCUUUUAGUUUGUAGUUUGGGUGUUUUAAAUAAUUAGUUUCCUG
rnacentral:lncRNA from 1 species